rnacentral:pre_miRNA from 1 species
CGCUCUUUCUCUCUAUCUGGCCUGGCCUGGCUUGAUGGGGAGAAGGAGAGGG